rnacentral:rRNA from 1 species
AGAGUGAACGCUGGCGGUAGGCCUAACACAUGCAAGUCGAACGGCAGCACAGGAGAGCUUGCUCUCUGGGUGGCGAGUGGCGGACGGGUGAGGAAUACAUCGGAAUCUACCUUUUCGUGGGGGAUAACGUAGGGAAACUUACGCUAAUACCGCAUAAGACCUUCGGGUGAAAGCCGGGGACCUUCGGGCCUGGCGCGGAUAGAUGAGCCGAUGUCGGAUUAGCUUGUUGGCGGGGUAAAAAGCCCACCAAGGCGACGAUCCGUAGCUGGUCUGAGAGGAUGAUCAGCCACACUGGAACUGAGACACGGUCCAGACUCCGUACGGGAGGCAGCAGGUGGGGAAUAGUUGGACAAGUGGGCGCAAGCCUGAUCCAGCCAUACCGCGUGGGUGAAGAAGGCCUUCGGUUCGUAAAGUCCCGUUUUGUUAGG